UUGGUCUAAGUCAACAUCCACCAUCGGAAUUUUACAACUGAUCAUUGAUGCAGAUAUAUAUCAAUUCGCACUUUGAAUAUUCACCGUUGGAACUAUUUUCCUAUCUUUUCUUAGUCGUAGUUAAUUAAAAACAAGCGAUCUAAUUAACCCUAACUACUAAACAACCCAAGACAAGCGCUAAAGGUUUAAUCUAGUAGCAGCCUUAAGAAUUAGAGAGAUCGAUGAAACUAAACAACACAAACACAAGCGGUUGCAUUUAAUUUAGUCGGGCGUUAUUCCUAAGAUCUAAAAAUUUCUGAUGCAGCAAAUUAUUAGAUCUUAGUUGC
rnacentral:lncRNA from 1 species